GCAGCAAGCCUGCUGCUGCUCUGUAUCCUGCUGUGCUACCAGGCCUUUCAUUUCCACGUGGCACAGGCCUACGCACGCCUUGGGUACCCCCACGCCCAGCACAUUGUGGGGCAGAGGUAUCUGCAAGGUAAACUUUGCUGUUGGAUGUUGGAGGACAUCUGUGCAUGUGAAUCUCAAAUGUGGCUCUGCAUGCUGGGUUUGGCCACUGUGUUUUACGUCAUCACUGCUAGUUCACUGUCUUGUUUUUAUCUCAGGUGCUGGAGUGAAAAAAAAUGAGAAGCUGGCCAUGCACUGGUUCAGGCAGGCAGCAGGACAGGGCCACCCACACUCCUCCUUCAACCUGGCACUGGGAGCUCUCAGCAACAUGACGGAGGCACUGGAGGAAAGUGGAAAAACUCCUUGGUGUGGCUGCAGCCCAUGGACUCCGAGAAGCUCAGGAACUUUUGGAGAACAUUCUCAAGAGCAGAAAGUUACCCUGAAUGACUGCACCAGCCUUGUCUUCUUCUGCAACUCUAUUGAAAGCUAAUUACAAGCUGGAGAUCACACCUCAUAUCAAUUCAUCCCCUGAUAUUAAGUUAGAUCCAGAUACUGACCUGGGCUUGAUGCUGUGGUUGUGCUGUAUCUAUUUCAUGCUCUCCUUAUUUUUUGCAACAGAUGAUUGUGAUUAAAGCUUUGUUGUCAUUAAUCAGCAUGACGUGUGUGAGUGAUGUCACCUGUAAUAUAAAUAAUAGUGCUUUAAUAGAAAGUAUUAUCUUAAGAUAAAUAAAAUCUUCAUGCAACAGCUGCCA
rnacentral:lncRNA from 1 species